rnacentral:rRNA from 1 species
UACGUAGGGACCAAGCGUUGUCCGGAUUUACUGGGCGUAAAGGGCGCGUAGGCGGCUUAACAAGUCACUUGUGAAAUCUCCGGGCUUAACUCGGAACGGCCAAGUGAAACUGUCAAGCUAGAGUGCAGAAGGGGCAAUCGGAAUUCUUGGUGUAGCGGUGAAAUGCGUAGAUAUCAAGAGGAACACCUGAGGUGAAGACGGGUUGCUGGGCUGACACUGACGCUGAGGCGCGAAAGCCAGGGGAGCAAACGGG